AGUAUGAUCAGGAGACAAGCAUACUCGAUUUUGAGAAAUUUCUCCACACUUUUGGCCUGGAAAAGAACUUGCCCCCUUCCCCCUUUCACACACAUAUAUUAUAUAUAUCAGCCAUUCAACCAAUUCGAUCAAUUGCAUCUAUAUUGUGUGUUGGUCUCUGUCUCUGGGUGGGAAUUGGAAGAGAGACUGAGACAUGGUGGAAGCUCUCAACGGACAGAGAAUCCUGCUUCAGCAUCUCCAACCCACUUCCCAUUCUGGGUCCUCUUCUCAGACCCAGGAGUCUGCUAACUUGACUAUGUUAAGACGGAACAAGACAUGAUGAGAUGAUGAUGACGUCGUGCCUCAUUCACCUGACGGCCGGUUUCGUCCUGAUCUCAACCUGUUUCCCCUCAACAGUUCGGCCUUUUGUGCUCAUUUGGUCCAUCAAAGAAUGAUCAUCACUGUCAUCUCAAUAACCUUUCACCAUCUCCUCCAUUUAGCUAGCUAAAUCACGAUAUAGUCCCAAUUUAUCGAUUGAGACUAAUUCUAAUUUAGAUAUUAUUUUAUUAUGAUUGUGAAGUAUUUUCAAUACGUUUUCAAUUCCUACAUUACAUGUAAAGUCCAUCCAAUGAUCA